rnacentral:rRNA from 1 species
UACGUAGGGCGCGAGCGUUGUCCGGAAUUAUUGGGCGUAAAGAGCUCGUAGGCGGUUCGUCGCGUCGGCUGUGAAAUCCCGAGGCUCAACCUCGGGUCUGCAGUCGAUACGGGCGGACUGGAGUUCGGCAGGGGAGACUGGAAUUCCUGGUGUAGCGGUGAAAUGCGCAGAUAUCAGGAGGAACACCGGUGGCGAAGGCGGGUCUCUGGGCCGAUACUGACGCUGAGGAGCGAAAGCGUGGGGAGCAAACAGG